rnacentral:rRNA from 1 species
CACGUAGGGCGCGAGCGUUGUCCGGAAUUAUUGGGCGUAAAGAGCUCGUAGGCGGCCUGUUGCGUCCGCUGUGAAAGCCCGGGGCUUAACCCCGGGUCUGCAGUGGAUACGGGCAGGCUAGAGGUAGGUAGGGGAGAAUGGAAUUCCCGGUGUAGCGGUGAAAUGCGCAGAUAUCAGGAGGAACACCGGUGGCGAAGGCGGUUCUCUGGGCCUUACCUGACGCUGAGGAGCGAAAGCGUGGGGAGCAAACAGG